rnacentral:lncRNA from 1 species
UAGAUCCUCCUUCGAAUCAUAAUAAUCGAUAUAUGUAUCAUCUUCUAUCUCAUCAUCAUUUAUCAACUGAUCGUCGCCCUCUGACUCAUCAAGAUUAAAUACAAAAUCAGCUUCAACUUCAUUGGACGGCAGAUCAGCCCUAUUCAAAGGUAUCAUUACAAGUUCUUCAUCCACAAAAAGCUCGGAUAAUAUUUAUUCUUCUUGCUGAAAAGCUACUUUUUCAUGUA